AUGGCCGACGGCGGCGGCGAGGAGGGGAAUGCGUCGGCGCACAGGGGCUCCUCGCGCAGGCGCGGGGCGGCGCAGGUGGGCCUGGACGCCGACGAGCUCCUCACGCUGAUGCACGGCUCGGAUCCCGUCAAGGUCGAGCUCAACCGGCUCGAGAACGAAGUCAGGGAUAAGGAUAGGGAGCUGGGCGAGGCACAGGCGGAGAUUAAGGCGCUACGCCUGUCGGAGAGGGCGCGGGAGAAGGCCGUCGAAGAGAAUCUAGAACUGAAAAAAACAAAUGAUGAGAAAAAAGCAGCUAUGGCAGCCCAGUUUGCAGCAGAAGCAACGCUGCGUAGAGUACAUGCAGCCCAAAAGGAUGAUGACAUGCCACCUAUUGAAGCCAUUCUUGCACCACUUGAAGCUGAGUUAAAGCUUGCUCGGCAAGAGAUUGCAAAGCUCCAAGAGGACAACAGAGCAUUAGAUCGUUUGACAAAGCAAAAGGAGGCAGCACUGCUAGAAGCAGAAAGGACUGUACAAACUGCAUUAGCAAAAGCUGCUAUGGUUGAUGACAUGCAAAACAAGAACCAAGAUCUGAUGAAGCAGAUUGAGAUCUGCCAGGAAGAGAAUAAGAUAUUGGAUAGGUUGCACCGCCAAAAAGUUGCGGAAGUCGAAAAGCUUAGUCAAACAGUCAGAGAGCUUGAAGAGGCUGUCCUUGCUGGUGGUGCAGCUGCUAAUGCUGUUAGAGAUUACCAGCGGAAAGUCCAGGAAAUGAAUGAAGAAAGAAAAGUUCUUGACCGUGAACUUGCUCGAACAAAAGUUACAGCAAACAGGGUUGCUGUUGUAGUUGCAAAUGAGUGGAAAGAUGGCAAUGACAAAGUAAUGCCUGUUAAACAGUGGCUUGAAGAGCGCAGAUUUCUGCAGGGUGAGAUGCAGCAACUUCGUGACAAACUUGCUAUUGCAGAGCGAACUGCUCGAUCGGAAGCUCAAGUAAAGGAAAAGUAUCAGUGGCGCCUAAAAGUUCUAGAAGAUGGAUUGAGGGGGCCGCCAAGUGGUUCUAGCCGUCCUCCUACAGAAGGAAGGAAUACAAGUAGUGGAUCUUCCCGUCGUCUAUCGCUAGGUGGAGCUGAUAAUCUGUCCAAAGUCUCCCCGGUUGGUGCAUUAAUGAGGAGAUCUCCAUCUUUCAAUUCGAGGCCCUCUCUUUCUACUGGCAGCAGCUUGGUCCUCAAGCACGCAAAAGGAACUUCAAGGUCUUUCGAUGGUGGUACGAGGUCUUUAGACCGGGGAAAGGUCCUUGUGAAUGGACCUCAUUUACUCAAUAGAUCUACAGAUGCUGUUGGGGACUGCGAGACUACUGAUAGCUGGAAGGCUAGUGGAGAAGAGAAAAAUACUGAAACCACAAAUAAUGAUUCAACUGAUAUGGUCUCUGGUGUACUCUAUGACAUGCUGCAGAAGGAGGUGGUUUCAUUGAGAAAGGCAUGCCAUGAGAAAGACCAAAGUCUAAAGGACAAGGAUGAUGCAAUCGAGAUGUUAGCAAAGAAAGUAGACACCUUAACCAAAGCCAUGGAGGUGGAGGCUAAAAAGAUGAGGAGAGAGGUAGCUGCUAUGGAGAAAGAAGUUUCUGCUAUGCGCCUUGAGAAGGAACAAGAGAGCAAGGCCAAGCGUCUUGGUAGUUUGAGAGGACCUGGCACAGUUUCUCAGGCACUUCCCGGAAGAAGUGCACCACGUGGCGGGUUGGCGCGCAACGUCCAAUAA
rnacentral:rRNA from 1 species